rnacentral:rRNA from 1 species
UCGGGUUGUAAAGCACUUUUGUCCGGAAAGAAAUCCUUGGUUCUAAUACAGCCGGGGGAUGACGGUACCGGAAGAAUAAGCACCGGCUAACUACGUGCCAGCAGCCGCGGUAAUACGUAGGGUGCGAGCGUUAAUCGGAAUUACUGGGCGUAAAGCGUGCGCAGGCGGUUUGCUAAGACCGAUGUGAAAUCCCCGGGCUCAACCUGGGAACUGCAUUUUGUGACUGGCGGGCUAGAGUAUGGCAGAGGGGGGGUAGAAUUCCACGUGUAGCAGUGAAAUGCGUAGAGAUGUGGAGGAAUACCGAUGGCGAAGGCAGCCCCGUGGGCCAAUACUGACGCUCAUGCACGAAAGCGUGGGGAGCAAACAGGAUUAGAUACCCUGGUAGUCCACGCCCUAAACGAUGUCAACUAGUUGUUGGGUCUUUCAUUGACUUGGUAACGUAGCUAACGCGUGAAGUUGACCGCCUGGGGAGUACGGUCGCAAGAUUAAAACUCAAAGGAAUUGACGGGGACCCGCACAAGCGGUGGAUGAUGUGGAUUAAUUCGAUGCAACGCGAAAAACCUUACCUACCCUUGACAUGUAUGGAACCCUGCUG